rnacentral:rRNA from 1 species
UACGUAGGCAGCGAGCGUUGUUCGGAGUUACUGGGCGUAAAGGGUGUGUAGGCGGUUGUUUAAGUUUGGUGUGAAAUCUCCCGGCUCAACUGGGAGGGUGCGCCGAAUACUGAAUGACUAGAGUACGGGAGAGGAAAGUGGAAUUCCUGGUGUAGCGGUGAAAUGCGUAGAUAUCAGGAGGAACACCGGUGGUGUAGACGGCUUUCUGGACCGUAACUGACGCUGAGACACGAAAGCGUGGGUAGCAAACAGG